rnacentral:rRNA from 1 species
UGGGGAAUAUUGCACAAUGGGCGCAAGCCUGAUGCAGCCAUGCCGCGUGUGUGAAGAAGGCCUUCGGGUUGUAAAGCACUUUCAGCGAGGAGGAAGGUGGUGAGCUUAAUACGCUCAUCAAUUGACGUUACUCGCAGAAGAAGCACCGGCUAACUCCGUGCCAGCAGCCGCGGUAAUACGGAGGGUGCAAGCGUUAAUCGGAAUUACUGGGCGUAAAGCGCACGCAGGCGGUUUGUUAAGUCAGAUGUGAAAUCCCCGGGCUCAACCUGGGAACUGCAUUUGAAACUGGCAAGCUAGAGUCUCGUAGAGGGGGGUAGAAUUUCCAGGUGUAGCGGUGAAAUGCGUAGAGAUCUGGAGGAAUACCGGUGGCGAAGGCGGCCCCCUGGACGAAGACUGACGCUCAGGUGCGAAAGCGUGGGGGCAGCAAACAGGAUUAGAUACCCCUGGUAGUCCACGCUGUAAACGAUGUCGAUUUGGAGGUUGUGCCCCUUGAGGCGUGG